GACAUCCGAGAUUCCACCGGACGGUAGGAAUUCCGAUACCGGAGUCUAGCUGGGUAUUACAUUCUCCCCCCCUUAAGAACAUUCGUCCCCGAAUGUUCCUCAACUAGCACACAUAGCAUGGCAUAAAACAUAACAUACAUACAUAGCACAUAAACACAUAGAGAUCUAACCUUAAAAGAGAUGAGGGUACUGCUGGAGCAUAGACUCCCGUGUCUC
rnacentral:lncRNA from 1 species